CGGCCGCGGUAUCCUAACCGUGCGAAGGUAGCGUAAUCACUUGUUCUUUAAAUGAGGACUAGUAUGAACGGCAUCACGAGGGUUAUACUGUCUCCUCCCUUUAAUCAGUGAAACUGAUCUUCCCGUGAAGAAGCGGGAAUAAAUCUAUAAGACGAGAAGACCCUAUGGAGCUUUAAACACACUACAAUUGCCUCACUCUAUGUUAAUCUCUGGAAAACCACUUAUCCGGGCAUUUUGAUAGCAAGUUUUAGGUUGGGGUGACCGCGGAGCAAAAAACAACCUCCACAGCGAACAGGACUUUCCCUUAAGCUCAGGAUUACAACCCUAAGAAUCAAUAAAUUGACACCCAUUGACCCAAUUUCUUGACCAACGGACCAAGUUACCCUAGGGAUAACAGCGCAAUCUACUUCAAGAGCUCCUAUCGACAAGUGGGUUUACGACCUCGAUGUUGGAUCAGGGUAUCCCAGUGGUGCAGCCGCUGCUAACGGUUCGUUUGUUCAACGAUUAAAACCCUACGUGAUCUGAGUUUCAGAC
rnacentral:rRNA from 1 species